AGGGUUAGGACUUAGGGUUUGUGCUGCACCGCCCGAGCUCAAUUCGGCUAUCCCUCCCUCAGGCCUCAGUCUCUCUCAGAGUCUCUCCUCUCUCCUCCGGACCUCUGCCUCCGCCCUCUCCUCCUCCGUACUGACAACUUUGGCCUCCCUGUCGACGGCGACCGCGGCGGCUUGAGGACCACACUCCACCGUCCGCGACUUCUCCUUAGUUAGGGACUUAGGGUUCGGGUUUGUGCGCCACCCGAGCUCUAUUCCCUCCCUCAGUCUCUCUCGAGUCUCUCCCCUCUCCUCUCCUCCAAAUUCUUCGCCUCCCGAGCCCUCUCCUCUGGACCUCCGCCCUCUCCUCCCCCAUGCCGACAACUUCGGCCUCCCCGUCGACGGCGACCGCGGCGGCUCGACGGGUCCUGGGAACCAAGGUUGAACGGAAGAGCUCAUAAAGAGGUCGGAUCCUCUACUCUACCGAGUGCAUUUACAGUUGUUGGAAAAUAUAAGCAGUCGAACAUCUAAGUAUUGGAGAUUAUUUUGAUAAAUCUGACUCAGCAAAAGUAAAUGCUUUAUAACCUAAUGGUUUCAACCUCAAUGCUUUAUAUUUCUAUUUUCUUUUCAAAUUAUUUUUUUCUAAAUUGGUAUUCUGAUAUAAUUUUAAAUUAUAUGAUAUAGAUGGAUAAACAAUUCGUGAAUAUAGAGUUAGAGAGUGAUGGUGAUAGGGCAAAUGAAUCGACGCCCUUAGGUUCUAAUGCAGUUGUAUGUGACUCCACACAUGGAAAAUGUAAAAGAAAAUUGACUUCUCCUGUUUAUCAAUAUUAUCAUAUAAAUGAAGCAACUAAAAAAUGCAAGUGUAUAAAGUGUGGUGCAGAAUAUUCAUUUGGUGGUAAGGUUGAGACCGGAAAUCUAAAACGUUAUUUAGAGAAUUGCGGAAAGAACCGUGACAUAGGACAGAUGAUCUUAUCACAAGCUCAAGGAUCCAUAUCAAUGUGUUCUACUAAGUUUAAUCCUGACAAAUUUCGUGAAUUGCUAACACUUGCAAUUAUUAAGCAUGAUCUACCAUUUCAAUUUGUUGAGUAUGAAGGCAUUAAAUCUUUAUUUGCUUAUGUUCGUGAGGAGGCCAAGUUAGUAUCAAGGAAUACUGUAAAGGCUGAUUUGUUGAAAUUAUAUAAAAAAGAUAAGGAAAAAUUAGUACUGUGGCUAUAUUCAAUUCCUUCUAGGAUAAGUUUAACUUCGGAUUUGUGGACCUCCAUUACUACCGAUGGCGAUUUAUGUUUAACUGCCUAUUUUAUUGAUGAUGAAUGGGUGUUACAAAAGAAAGUUCUUAACUUUCGCUUCAUGCCUCCUCCACAUAGUGGCAUAACUUUAUGUGAAAUAAUUUACAAUUUGUUGAUUGAUUGGGGGAUUGAAAAAAAAUUGUAUUGCAUGACUUUAGAUAAUGCAUCCGUAAAUGAUGUUUUUGUUGACAUGCUAAAGAUCCAACUUAAUUUGAACAAUGCACUUUACUCGGAUGGUGAGUUCUUUCAUGUCUGAUGUUGUGAUCAUAUUCUUAACUUAAUUGUACAAGAAGGAUUAAAGGAGAUAGAUGAACCCAUCUCUAAAAUUCGUGAAAGUAUUAAAUAUGUGAGAGGUUCACAAGUUCGGAAACAAAAAAUUUUGGAAUGUGUUAGACAAGUUUCUUUGGAAAGUAAAAAAGACUUAAGGCAAGAUGUUCCUACAAGAUGGAAUUCAACUUUUUCGAUGCUAGAUAGUGCUCUCUUUUACCGUCGUGCCUUUCUUCAUUUGAAAUUAAGUGACUCUAAUUACAAGCAUUGUCCAUCUGAAGAGGAGUGGGGUAAACUUGGGAAGAUUAGCAAGUUGUUGAGUGCAUUCUAUGAUGCUACUUAGUAUUCUCCGGAGCUAAAUAUUUUCCUCAAGAGAUGCAGAGUGCAGAUGCUUUCAUACAAAGAAUGACACGGCAGAUGUAUCAAAAAUUUGAAAAGUAUUGGUCGGAUCAUAGCUUAAUCUUGUCCAUGGCAGUUAUUUUGGAUCCUCGGUACAAAUUUCAGUUUGUGGAGUAUUGUUAUAAGAAGUUGAAUGGGUAUGGUUCUACUGAGAGCAUGCACAUCCGUGAUUGUAUGUUUUCUCUCUUUAAUCAGUAUAUGCUUGCUUCUUCUAAAACUCCAACUGCUAUCACAUCAACUCAUAGAGAUAUGGAGAUCGGUACUUCUUCUGAAACUUCUAAGGCAUUUAGAAAAGCAGAUGCUUUUAAGGAUUUGAUACAUUUGAAAGCUUUGGUUUUGCUACUACUGUACAGAAGUCUCAAUUGGAAUUAUAUUUGGAUGGGCCUAGAGUUGAUAGGAUAUCCAAUUUGGAUAUCCUUGAUUUUUGGAAAACCAAGCAGUCUCAUUAUCCUCAACUAUCUCUUAUGGCACGUGAUAUUCUAACUAUUCCAAUAUCUACGGUUGCCUCUGAAUCUGCUUUUAGUAUUAGUGGGCGAGUACUUGAUAAGUAUCAUAGUGCUCUUAAAUCGGAUAUUGCCGAGGCCUUGAUUUGUACUCGAGAUUGGGUGUUUGAAAAGAAAGAUGUUGAGGAGGCCGAGUUUAGAUGAGACUGUAGAAGAUGUCAUAAACUCAAGUUCCUACAAUGAAACUCAAUCAACUCAAUGCUCGGCCAAUGUUGAAUCUAAUUCAUAGUGAGAUGAAUCAUGAUCAUGGAUACUCCUUUUUGGUUUUGGUUUAAAUAUGGAUGUUGUUAUUGUUUCGCUCUUUUUUUUAGUUUUGCUUUGACUAUGGAUGGUGUCAUUGGAUUUAUGGAGUUAUGGACCUUAUGAUGGUGGUUAUUCAAUAUUAAGUUGAUAUUUAUAGCUAUUUGGUAGUUUCUUAUUCAAUAUAUGAAUGCUUUAUAGAAACUAUGAAUCUUGCUGUUUUCUUGAAAUCAUUCUUAUGUUAUAAUGAGACAUGUUCAUUCUUAUGUUAUUCAAUAUAGCUAUUUGAUAGUUUCUUUUGCUAGAUUCUUUUUUUGCACAGGUUGCUAUUGUAAGUUUGUAACUUUAGGACAAAGCAAGAAAAUUCAUCUGGAGAUCGAGAUUGCCAAGCAAAAGGAAAUUCAUCUUGAUGUAUGCAAUGCUAUUUUUAUUUUUAUUCAAUAAUAGUCUAAUAGCCAUCAUCGGAGGGGCAAGAGGUGAAGAUAUUAGGUGUUCAGUUGGUCUGAUGAUCUGGGUCUAUGAUUCUUGGUUGUAGUUCUAUUGGCCUGGUUUUGUUUGUUAGGGACGCAUGGAGUUGGUGCAGGCAACUGGUACUUGAUAUUCUUGGUUGUAUGCAAUGAUGUUCAGCUCUUUGCUAUUGCUCUCUUGUGCCCGAUAUGAACUUAAUUUGUGAUCUGAAGUUGGUGCAGGCAACUGGUACUUGAUCUGUUCGAUCACAUAACUUUUGUCCCCUUAUAUUGAGGCUCUUUUCUGUGAUACGCUGCUGCUUUCUGGGUUAUGAAAAUGUCGUGUUUUAGCAACCACAUUUUUGUCAGUGUUUAUAUUCUUGUGAUUGAAAACUGACUAUCUGUUCUCUUCACCAUUUCUACAGUAAGUUACAGAGUGAUGUUUUGAGGGAAGCAAUCUCUCAUAUUGCAAAUGAUUCUCGGGAGAAGAAGCGCAAUUUUUCUGAAACCAUUGAGCUACAAAUUGGUCUGAAAAACUAUGACCCCCAAAAAGAUAAGCAUUCCAGUAGAUCUUAUGUUUACCUAAUAUAAUUUUUAAUGGCAAACAUCAUACAAAUAACUUGUCCUAUGCAUUUGAAUUCAGGGCCUGGUUGUUCUUCUAUUGGCUAUGAAGAGGCAGAGGAACUUGGACCUUUCUUAAUACAAAAAGGUGUGCCAGAGCUCAAAUUCAACAAGCAUUCUUGGAACCGGAGGAAUUGCGACUCAUCACUCGCCUAUACUGACAGAGAAAAUAGGGCUUGACUAUAUAGAUGUUGAAGCACUAAAAAAAUGAACAAAAACAAGAAGCUGGUCAAAAAGCUUGCUAAGAAGUACCAUGCUUUCCCAGCAUCAGAGGCAAUCAUGUAUAUUGACAUUUGUUCUAUGUGAAGCAGAUUUUCUUUUCGGGCUAUUCCAUAUGUAAAUUUGGAUGAUUUGACUUGUAUUCCUUGUCUUUGUAAAGAUUAAAUGUUUUUUGAAUAUUGCUGGUAUUAGAUGAAUGAAUAAAUAACUUGUAUUCCUUA